AUUGAACGCUGGCGGCAGGCUUAACACAUGCAAGUCGAACGAGUGGCGGACGGGUGAGUCAUGCUUGUGCAUCUGGCUGAUGGAGUGGGAUAACUACUGGAAACUGUAGCUGAUACCGCAUACCAUAGGCUCAGCCCAGGGGGGAUUAGGUAGUUGGUGGGGUAAAGGCUCACCAAGCCGACGAUCUCUAGCUGGUCUGAGAGGAUGACCAGCCACAGGGGGACUGAGAAGCGGCCCAGACUCCUACGGGGGGGAGAGGUGGGGAAUAGUGCGCAAUGGGGGCAGCCGUGAGGCAGCAAUGCCGCGUGGAUGAAGAAGGCGUGGGGGUUGUAAAGUACUUUCAGCGGGGAGGCGUUAUCUACAGAAGAAGUACCGGCUAACUCCGUGCCAGCAGCCGCGGUAAUAC
rnacentral:rRNA from 1 species